rnacentral:misc_RNA from 1 species
UCUCCGUAGGUGAACCUGCGGAAGGAUCAUUCCCAAUAAGUGAUUUAUGGCACUUUUUUAACAAUCCAUAUUCACCUCUCGUGCAACGUUAUGACACCCUCUAUCGCUAUCUUUUAGGCUACGGAAGAGCGAACCUCUACAACUUACUAACACUACUGUGAACUUCUUUGUCUGAACAUUUGUUAUCACGAAUUAACUUAAUUCGACAAUACAACUUUCAACAACCGAUCUCUUGGCUCACCCAACGACGAAGAACGAAGCACAUCGGACGAGCACACC